rfam:Schistosoma mattheei strain Denwood, Zambia genome assembly, scaffold: SMTD_scaffold0029152
AGCUUUUCGAAUCCGUGCUGAGACUUCGUCAGACACCAACCCGUUAGGGUUGAUUGGACUUCCAAGAUAAGUGAAGUU